AGGACCGCGCUUCGGCUAGGAUGCUGGCAUAAUGGUCUUCAGCGACCCGUCUUGAAACACGGACCAAGGAGUCUACAUCGUAUGCGAGUGUUCGGGUGUAAAACCCCUGCGCGUAAUGAAAGUGAACGCAGGUGAGAGCUUCGGUGCAUCAUCGACCGAUCCUGAUGUUUUCGGAUGGAUUUGAGUAAGAGCAUACGGGUCCGGACCCGAAAGAAGGUGAACUAUGCCUGAAUAGGGUGAAGCCAGAGGAAACUCUGGUGGAGGCUCGCAGCGGUUCUGACGUGCAAAUCGAUCGUC
rnacentral:rRNA from 1 species